AUGACCCGUUCCCUUCACAUGGACUACUGUACUCUACAGGGUUUAGACAGAGCCUGGUCCCUUCACAUGGACUACUGUACUCUACAGGGUUUAGACAGAGCCUGGUCCCUUCACAUGGACUACUGUACUCUACAGGGUUUAGACAGAGCCUGGUCCCUUCACAUGGACUACUGUACUCUACAGGGUUUAGACAGAGCCUGGUCCCUUCACAUGGACUACUGUACUCUACAGGGUUUAGACAGAGCCUGGUCCCUUCACAUGGACUACUGUACUCUACAGGGUUUAGACAGAGCCUGGUCCCUUCACAUGGACUACUGUACUCUACAGGGUUUAGACAGAGCCUGGACCCUUCACAUGGACUACUGUACUCUACAGGGUUUAGACAGAGCCUGGUCCCUUCACAUGGACUACUGUACUCUACAGGGUUUAGACAGAGCCUGGUCCCUUCACAUGGACUACUGUACUCUACAGGGUUUAGACAGAGCCUGGUCCCUUCACAUGGACUACUGUACUCUACAGGGUUUAGACAGAGCCUGGUCCCUUCACAUGGACUACUGUACUCUACAGGGUUUAGACAGAGCCUGGACCCUUCACAUGGACUACUGUACUCUACAGGGUUUAGACAGAGCCUGGUCCCUUCACAUGGACUACUGUACUCUACAGGGUUUUAGACAGAGCCUGGUCCCUUCACAUGGACUACUGUACUCUACAGGGUUUAGACAGAGCCUGGUCCCUUCACAUGGACUACUGUACUCUACAGGGUUUAGAGAGAGCCUGGUCCAUUCACAUGGACUACUGUACUCUACAGGAUUUAGACAGAGCCUGGUCCCUUCACAUGGACUACUGUACUCUACAGGGUUUAGACAGAGCCUGGUCCCUUCACAUGGACUACUGUACUCUACAGGGUUUAGACAGAGCCUGGUCCCUUCACAUGGACUACUGUACUCUACAGGGUUUAGACAGAGCCUGGUCCCUUCACAUGGACUACUGUACUCUACAGGGUUUAGACAGAGCCUGGUCCCUUCACAUGGACUAAAAGUAUAG
rnacentral:lncRNA from 1 species